rnacentral:rRNA from 1 species
UACAGAGGUGGCAAGCGUUGUUCGGAUUUACUGGGCGUAAAGGGCGCGCAGGCGGUUCUGUUUGUCGAGUGUGAAAGCCCCGGGCUCAACCUGGGAACUGCGCUCGAAACGGCGGAACUAGAGUUCGGGAGAGGAGAGUGGAAUUCCCAGUGUAGAGGUGAAAUUCGUAGAUAUUGGGAAGAACACCGGUGGCGAAGGCGGCUCUCUGGACCGAUACUGACGCUGAGGUGCGAAAGCGUGGGGAGCAAACAGG